AUUGAACGCUGGCGGCAUGCCUUACACAUGCAAGUCGAACGGCAGCACGGGUGCUUGCACCUGGUGGCGAGUGGCGAACGGGUGAGUAAUAUAUCGGAACGUACCUUAUCGUGGGGGAUAACGCAGCGAAAGCUGCGCUAAUACCGCAUACGCCCUGAGGGGGAAAGCGGGGGACCGUAAGGCCUCGCGCGAUUAGAGCGGCCGAUAUCUGAUUAGCUUGUUAGUGGGGUAAAAGCCCACCAAGGCGACGAUCAGUAGCUGGUCUGAGAGGACGAUCAGCCACACUGGGACUGAGACACGGCCCAGACUCCUACGGGAGGCAGCAGUGGGGAAUUUUGGACAAUGGGGGCAACCCUGAUCCAGCAAUGCCGCGUGAGUGAAGAAGGCCUUCGGGUUGUAAAGCUCUUUUGUCAGGGAAGAAACAGCAGCUCUAACACAGUCUGCGAAUGACGGUACCUGAAGAAUAAGCACCGGCUAACUACGUG
rnacentral:rRNA from 1 species